GGCAGCGUUGUUUGAGCUGAACUGUAAGGCUUUGCCUUUUGAAUAUGCUUUUGGGUUGAACUGUGUUUCUUCACAUCACUGAGUUUGGCACAGAAAUCGACCUUGCAAUAGCUACAGUAUGCUCGUUUAUAGUCUCCAAUAAACGUCUUUAACCAGCCCUUAAAAGCAGUGUUUGCUUCACACUCUUUCCAAUAUUUUUGUUGGUAAAGUUUUGACUGCGACAUGGUAAAGACAUGUUUUGAACAGAUUUGAUUUGAAUUUUUUUCUUAAUUUAACCUAAGAAAAAAAUAAUAAUCAGGAAAAUAUUACAUUUUCCCGCUCUGACUGUACGUCAGGGUCCGGGAUCAGUCGGCGGCGGCUUGCUGGCAGGACGCGGAUUCAUUUGCAGCCCGGAUGCCGAGGCGUGAACGUCUCCUGUUAGCUCCUGCUAACAGAGCAGCUGGGAGGGACUGCUGCACGAGGACUGGGCUGCCUGUAAGUUCUUUGAGACGGGGAGGGGCCGCGCAGGCACCCGGUGCUCGUUGUGAAGAGGUAAUAGCGAUAAUGCUUUCACCUCAAAAAGUCACCAAAAGUCACCAAUAACAGCUGAAAAAUUAGCUAGAUUUGUCGCUUGUCGCCGUUUUGAAAAAAAGUCGCCAAAGGGGUCUGAAAAGUAGCUAAACAUAGCGUCAAAAUCGCUAAGUUGGCAACACUGUGUGAGGGACAUGCCUAUAGUGUCCGACUACCACCCGGUGGAGAGGGAUACAUUUCUGGCUCCAGCUCCACCUUCGGAUCGUGUGGGUACAAGUGACUGGUGUGUGUGUGGGUGCUGCCGGAGCAUGGACACUGCAGUGGAAUCAGUCUGCUGCCGACAGGUCACGAUCAACCUUGACCAUCUAAUGGAUGGAUUAAGUUGCAUUAUCAUGCAUAGGGCAUUUCGGAUGCUGUGCGGCGAGAGAGAGGUGUUGGAAGUGGCCAUGCUCUCUCUAAGGGACGUCUGAGCUGAGACGCUGGAGCGCCCCAUUAAUAGCAGGUUUCCAACACUUAUAUUUUAUUAGGUACGAAUUGGCAGCUAGGCUAGGCUAGGCAAGAAAAAAGGAACAGGAUUCCGGUCCCAUCCUGUGCUGUCGCCUACAUUAGGGAUAUUUUCCCCUCGGCCGAAUACCAAGGAUUAUGCUUUGGAUGCAUAGCUGCUAAAUAAAUAUAUUUUAAACAAUAUAUCAGACGCGUCAUGUGCUCAUUACAUUACUCACAUUAAUCAGCAUUCGAGGUGUUGAUCAGCAGAGAAAUAGUUGGCCAAAGACGUUGACGUCGCUUGGCAACCGAAGAUGCUGGCGUUAUUGUGAAGGCCCAUGUAGGUGAACGGAGCGUUCCACGGCAUUGAGAAGAGCUGUGUCAUAAUAGCCUAUGCGCAUCUAUAUUUAUUUAUUUUAAGAGACCGUCACAGAGAUGGAAUCAUAACUCUAACCCUGAUUAUGUGUGAUUGUUUGAUAUUGUAGCGACCACGGGCUGGUUCGGAUGCACAAGGAAUUCUGGGGGUUCAACUAUCCUGGGGGAUGGACCCUUUCGGGGACCCCCUGGGUUACCUUUUAGUUGUUGACUUAAUUGGGGCUUAUGGGUUGGGGUUGUUGGUUUGUAAAUGUGUGUUCAAUUGUUGUGUUAUGCGCAUUGUUGUCGCCACCGUUAUUGUGAGUGUUAUGCUGGUUUGCUAGGUGUGUGCUGUGUUUCAUAAGUAAUUGUUGGUGCUAUUACAGGCAGUUCCGUUGUCGAGCGGUGUAUGGGGCGCGGAACUGAUUGCUAAACCUGGGCUUCCAUCUCAUCCAUCCCAUGCUGCUCGCCACAUUAUUUUCACUAUUCUCUGCAUAAAAGUAGGCUACAUGCUGCAUGUUCAGCAGUCAAUAAUGACAAGAGUAAAGUCAUUUUUUGGUUGGUGGUAGCGUUUAAAAACAAUGUAUUUAUAUCAGAAACAUUCAAACAAGAAGGACCGGCCCAAACUCCUCUUUCAGACAUUAAACAGAUUAAAGAGUUAUACCCAGCAGCAAUGCCAGAGUAACACGUUUUUUUUAAUAUAUAUAUAAAUAUAGGGUUAGAUAUAAUGAUUAUGAUUUCUAUUAGGUGAACCGGCUAAGGUCUUUUGCAACAGACUGUUCUUUGUCCGGUUUGGAGAGCUCUCUGUGUUGGCCCAAGGUUGGAUGGGCUUCUUGCCUUUGUUCAGCUAAGGUACAUUCUAUGGUGCUAGACCCCCUCUGUCUCUAGAUGGCUCCAUCUACGAUGUUGCUUCUGAAUGCAUAGUCUUUCUUUUCUUUUAUUUGUCCCACCACAAACUGACGGGCAGCCUUUGAAAAUUGCUGCCUAAAUCUUUCACUUCCGGCCUUCGUUUUUUUGCCCUCUCUAUCUCGAUGUUAGUGUUGUUGUCCAAAGCAGCCAGGCGUAGACGCGCUUCAAAGAUUUCAAAGCUGAAGGACUUGCGUUUAGUGGCAUACUUGUUGUAUAGAGCAUGUACACUUUCUAAUUCACCUGUGUGAAUGCCCUCAGUCAACCUGUCAAGUUUUUUUAGGAGCUGCCUGUCCAGGACAACCUUUUGGAGCGUUUCAAAGGCUGCAGAAUCAGGACUGGGCCACGGGCGCCGGCUCUCCUCGUCAGAGGUGUAGCGGCGGUGGUCACAUUUGGAGGAGACCGAAUACCACAAGUGAUUAGUAACCAUUCGGAUCCACUCACUGAGAACCUUCUGCACAGAUGGGUGACAGUCAGUGGCAAACACAGAUAUGGAGACACCACAGUCUUCAAGUUUGGCAAGGCAUCUCUCCCUCCUACCUCGAGCCAGUAGCUGUUUUUCACCUCUGUCACUCGCACAGUUUCCUGAGCCACGAUCAUCUUCGAUUCUGUGUCAAGCAGAGACUCCUCUGCAUCACUGGAGUUGGCAAGGUCAUCACAACAAAAGUCCUCAUUGUGGAUCUCAGAUUUGCCGUCAAAGAAAACGUCAUCUUCCACUGCACGGCAGCAUUCCUCCAAUGAGGUUUCUUGACUUUGCGUGGGUGUUGAGGUUCUGGGGACAGAUUUGUAGUCAGGGUGGCCAAUGUUUUCCAAAGCAGAAAUGGUCCUUGAUGAGCAUUGUAAUGUUGGCCAGGUCAUCAGUUAGUGUAGCCAUGCUCCUGAACUGCUUUUUCUUUCCCUCAUGUAUGUUCUAGGUCUGUCUGGGUACCAACAGAUACACUAGCUUCACAGAUGUCCUGAUCUUCCUCAUCCCUCAUCAAUGUUUCACUGCCCACCGUAGACAUGCAGGUCUGCUUGAUCAAUGGGGGGGAGGAGGAGAGAGAAAUAGUUCCAGAGAACUGGAAGAUCAGUCUGUGCACUACACAUUUACAACCCAAUAAGCAUUGUGCUGAUGGAGAACUAACAAUUUUUUUCUUGUGGUUUAUGUUUUCUAAUGUAUUGUGUAUCGAUUCAUUCUGCCUCAAGAUAUUGCAUACCAUA